UUUUUAAAGAUUGGGUGAAGUGACAAGGUUUUCAUUUUUUUCUUUUUGUAUAAUCUUUCCUUUCUUUUUUCUGGUUUUAGGUGUCAUGGUCCUCGACAACCACCUAACCCAGAGUUCACACUGAAACCGAAGAAAAAGAAACACAAUUUUCAGAGUGAACCAACUGCGGGAACUCCAUGUCCACCAUGUCCAGAACUUGUUUGGAGGUUCUGUCUUGGCCAACACUUUGCAGCAGAAAGAAUGAUGGUUCGUUCAAAUAAAGCGCAAUUUUCCUGUGACAACCUGUGUGGAAAUCCUCUUGCUUGUGGCAAUGAUUAUUGCACAAAGACUUGCCAUGCCCUUCAGAACUUGUCAUCCUCUUUAGAUCGGUGUACAAGAGGAGUGCCCUGUGAAGAUUGUACUCUCCCUUGCCAAAAGGACACCUGCAUGUUCACACCCUGGCCCACAGCCAUGCCAUCCUGAAGAAUGCCCCCCGUGCAAACUGCAAAGUGCUCUUAAAACGUGCAUGUCAUUGUGGUGCAAUGGUCCAUGAUUUUUAGUGUAUAUACUAUAACACCUCAUCUGAAAAUGAACAAUUGAGUGCUCGUUCAUGUGGUGGACCUUGCCACAGAUGAACUUUUUUAAGAGUAGUGUAUCCUUUAAUUGGAAAAUUUAAAAAUAGAAUCGCACUUCCAACAGGCGUCUGCACCUGUGCAAACAUGAUUUUAUGUACUCUCUCCGAUUUUUUUUAAUUGCAACUUUCAUGAGUAUUGCGGUUUACGAGGCAAAAGUUAAAGGGUAUGUGAUAGUGGGGUUAAUUAAAGGUGAUUAAAGGUUUUGGAGAGAGAAUGGUUGGCCAACCCCUUAGAAAAGUAGGGGAAUUGGCAGAAAUUUUUCCCUCUAAAGCGGUUUCCCCCCAAAUUUUACCCAAAAAUUUCAUUUGGCUGAAUUUUUGGGAAUUUUUAAUUCCCUCCAAAAUUUAAAAAAUAAACCACCAAAUAUUCAAAAAAUGGAGCAUUUAAAUAGUCAUAAGCCAUUGCAAUUCAUAUUUAUGAGGCAUCUUAAAUACAACCUCCAUCAAAAUAGAGCAUUCAAUGUUGUUUCACAUCAAAAACUUAAACAUUCUUCCAAUUGAAAUUAGUGUACUUUAGUGAUUAAUUACAGACAGUUAAGCCCAAUAUAUACCCAAAAAACUCCUUAAUCUAAAAUUAGUAGCCCAACUAAGACCCUAAACCCUUCAACGGCAGCUGUUUCU